rnacentral:rRNA from 1 species
UACAGAGGUCUCAAGCGUUGUUCGGAUUCAUUGGGCGUAAAGGGUGCGUAGGCGGUCGGCUAUGUCGGAUGUGAAAGCCUCGGGCUUAACCCGAGAAGGGCAUCCGAAACUGGCCGGCUUGAGUACGGAAGAGGGUCUCGGAAUUCCCGGUGUAGAGGUGAAAUUCGUAGAUAUCGGGAGGAACACCAGUGGCGAAGGCGGAGACCUGGGCCGAUACUGACGCUGAGGUGCGAAAGCGUGGGGAGCAAACGGG